rnacentral:rRNA from 1 species
GAUGAACGCUGGCGGCGUGCCUAAUACAUGCAAGUCGAGCGAACGGACGAGGAGCUUGCUCCUCUGACGUUAGCGGCGGACGGGUGAGUAACCCGUGGAGAACCUACCUAUAAGACUGGGAUAACUUCGGGAAACCGGAGCUAAUACCGGAUAAUAUAUUGAACCGCAUGGUUCAACAGUGAAAGACGGUUUUGCUGUUACUUAUAGAUGGAACCUAGUCGCAUUAGCUAGUUGGUAAGGUAACGGCUUACGAAGGCAACGCUGCGUAGCCGACAUGAGAGGGUGAUCGGCCACACUGGAACUGAGACACGGUCAAGACUCCUACGGGAGGCAGCAGUAGGGAAUCUUCCGCAAUGGGCGAAAGCCUGACGGAGCAACGCCGCGUGAGUGAUGAAGGUCCUCGGAUCGUAAAACUCUGUUAUUAGGGAAGAACAAAUGUGUAAGUAACUAUGCACGUCUUGACGGUACCUAAUCAGAAAGCCACGGCUAACUACGUG